rnacentral:tRNA from 1 species
GGGACUCAGCUGGUUAGAGCGUCUCGUUUACACCGAGAAGGUCGGGGGUUCAAGUCCCUCAGCAUCCACCA